AUUGAACGCUGGCGGCAGGCUUAACACAUGCAAGUCGAGCGGGGUGAUGGUGCUUGCACUAUCACUUAGCGGCGGACGGGUGAGUAAUGCUUAGGAAUCUGCCCAUUAGUGGGGGACAACAUCUCGAAAGGGAUGCUAAUACCGCAUACGUCCUACGGGAGAAAGCAGGGGAUCACUUGUGACCUUGCGCUAAUAGAUGAGCCUAAGUCGGAUUAGCUAGUUGGUGGGGUAAAGGCCUACCAAGGCGACGAUCUGUAGCGGGUCUGAGAGGAUGAUCCGCCACACUGGGACUGAGACACGGCCCAGACUCCUACGGGAGGCAGCAGUGGGGAAUAUUGGACAAUGGGGGGAACCCUGAUCCAGCCAUGCCGCGUGUGUGAAGAAGGCCUUAUGGUUGUAAAGCACUUUAAGCGAGGAGGAGGCUCUUUUGGUUAAUACCCAAGAUGAGUGGACGUUACUCGCAGAAUAAGCACCGGCUAACUCCGUGCCAGCAGCCGCCGUAA
rnacentral:rRNA from 1 species